ACCGGCAGCUCAAGUGGUGGCCAUUUUUAUUGGGCCUAAAGCGUUCGUAGCCGGUUUGAUAAGUCUCUGGUGAAAUCCCGCAGCUUAACUGUGGGACUUGCUGGAGAUACUAUUAGACUUGAGGUCGGGAGAGGUUAGGGGUACUCCCAGGGUAGGAGUAAAAUCCUAUAAUCCUGGGUUGACCACCUGUGGCGAAGGCCGCUAACUGGAACGAGCCUGCCGGUGCGCAAUGUCAGCCCUUGGCGCGAACCG
rnacentral:rRNA from 1 species